rnacentral:lncRNA from 1 species
CCUUUCACCAACUUUGACUGAAAUGAAUAGGUUACAACCUUUAGCUUUCUGCCCCUUGGAAAACGGAAGCAUUUAGACAUCCGUAUUAAUAUUUGGAUCUAGAGUGUUCGUGUUUUAGCACUUCCUUUUUUGAAAGGAGAAGCAGACGUGUUGUGUUUUUAGGAACACUUCCAAGAAGUUUCUCCUCCUCUAUGAUGAAACCAACACAAGAAAGCCAAAAGGGCGUUUAACCCCUUGAAGCACUGAGAGUUUCCCUGCUGAUAUUCUUAGACUGUUCUUUUUCUAAAACGAGAAAGAGUGACUUCUAAAGGGCUAACUCACCACAAGGGAGUCAGAGCAGAUCUUGGACUGAGACCUACAGGACACAGCGACUCUUAAAUAGGUGGCUCACCAGGAGAAAGGCAUAGCAGAACCUGGACUGAGACCUACGGGAGACAGAUGCUGCCAUGGGGUUGUAGCCCCACAACUUGCCAGUCUGUAUGCUUCCCUAGAGGUUUGAGCAGCGGAGUACUAAAGAAGCAAGCCACACCCCCACUCCACCUCCUGUGAGGGGGACAAGGAAACUUUUCCCAUUUCAACUGGUGGCUCGUCUGGGAUCUCGGAAGAUCAUCCUGGCCUGCUAAGACCCAUCCUGUGCUUAUAAAAACCCCAAGACCCUAGCAGUCAGACACACAGGAGGCUUGACGUCGAGAGGAGCACAUCAGCGGAGGAACACACAGGCGGCUGGACAUGAAGAGGAACAUGACAACAGGCACCAGCACACCAGCAGGGCACCGACUUAUAGAACGAUGUGGAUUUUGCCUGGGGCAGUCAGAGGAGAGCCAGGGCUGCUGAACGGCCCCAAUCCAGGGAGAAACCAAUCUCCUUUCUGGCUCCCCCAUCUGCUGAGAGCUACUUCCACUCAAUAAAACCUUGCACUCAUUCUCCACGUCCACGUGUGACCUGAUUCUUCUGGAAUGCCAAGGCAAGAACCCUAGGAUACAGAAAGCCCUCUGUCCUUGUGAUAAGGAAUGUGUCUAAUUGAGCUAGUUACCACAAGUUGCCUAUAAAUGGCAAAACUAAAAGACCACACGACCACUGGGGCUUCAGGAACUGUAAACAUCCACCCCUACACACUGCCAGUAUGAGAAAAAUUUGCUGAUAUGUUUUCUGCUGACCUGAUGACAAUGUUCCUAUGGUCACACUAACCACUGCUGGGUAAUUUUCAUCAUGACUCUCGUUUUCAUCUGCUGAAACCAGCCUCCCCAAGAAAGACAACUAUUUUCAAACUGAGGAAAUAAAGUGUUACUAAACCACAGUGUUCUCUCAUGGCUGUUCCUGGAGUUCUUCAAAACACUUGAUAUUAUAAAAUAGAAUUAUUACAGAUCACUGUAUGUUAUGGAUUUAGUCAAAAUGAUAAUUUAAAAUAUGGUUUAAAAUAAAAAACUUUAUUUUCCAAAGAAGAUAGUUUUUUAAACAAGAAUAUCCAAUAAAGACAGUAUGAGGUCAGCUGA